rnacentral:rRNA from 1 species
ACUCCUACGGGAGGCAGCAGUGGGGAAUAUUGGACAAUGGGGGCAACCCUGAUCCAGCCAUGCCGCGUGAGUGAAGAAGGCCUUAGGGUUGUAAAGCUCUUUCAGUGGUGAAGAUGAUGACGGUAGCCACAGAAGAAGCCCCGGCUAACUCCGUGCCAGCAGCCGCGGUAAUACGGAGGGGGCAAGCGUUGUUCGGAAUUACUGGGCGUAAAGGGCGCGUAGGCGGAUAUUCAAGUCAGAGGUGAAAGCCCCGGGCUCAACCUGGGAACUGCCUUUGAAACUGGAUGUCUGGAGUUCGGGAGAGGUGAGCGGAAUCCCAGUGUAGAGGUGAAAUUCGUAGAUAUUGGG